UACGUAGGUGGCAAGCGUUGUCCGGAUUUAUUGGGUUUAAAGGGUGCGUAGGCGGUCAAAUAAGUCAGUUGUGAAAUACGGCAGCUCAACUGUCGAGGUGCAAUUGAUACUGUUUGACUUGAGUAUUGUUGAGGUAGGCGGAAUGGACGGUGUAGCGGUGAAAUGCUUAGAGAUCGUCCAGAACACCGAUAGCGAAGGCAGCUUACUAAGAAGAUAACUGACGCUGAGGCACGAAAGUGUGGGGAUCAAACAGG
rnacentral:rRNA from 1 species